GUUUAUAUAGAUAAAAGACACAAUAAUACCGACGCCCGCCCCCAAAAAGAAUCCAGACCCCCCACCCGCGUCGUUUUGUUCUUAUAUUACACAGCACCACCCGGGCGGCGCGCUUACAAUCUUAUAAUCUGGAUAAACAAUCGUCCACCCAAAAUUUUUUUUAGGAUACCUCCCCCUAAAAAGCGCGGGAAGGAAAUAGCCGUUUGGGAUUUGCCCGGGGGGGUUUGGACCGUCGCCGUAAACGAUGCCACGCGAUCCCGGCGCUUUUGGCCUGGUGGGAGCUCCGGAAACGAAAGUCUCCGGUUCGGGGGAAGUAGGUUGCAAAGCUUGAAACUUAAAGGAAUUAGGAAAGGCCCCCAGAUGAGCUGCGGCUUAUUUGACUCAACACGGGGAAAACUCACCCGGCCCGGACACCGUGAGUUGACAGAUUGAUAGCUUUUUUCAUGAUUCGGUGGUGUGGUGCAUGGCCCGUUCUUAGUUCGUGGGAUCGAUUUGUCUGGUUAUUCCCGAUAACGAGCGAGACUCCAGCCCUACUAACUAGUGCGGGCAUUGCUUUCUGUGUU
rnacentral:rRNA from 1 species